UAGCGGAGGAAAAGAAACCAACAGGGAUUGCCCUAGUAACGGCGAGUGAAGCGGCAACAGCUCAAAUUUGAAAUCUGGCCCUUGUGGUCCGAGUUGUAAUUUGUAGAGGAUGCUUUUGGUUAGGUGCCUUCCGAGUUCCCUGGAACGGGACGCCAUAGAGGGUGAGAGCCCCGUCUGGUUGGAUACCGAGCCUCUGUAAAGCUCCUUCGACGAGUCGAGUAGUUUGGGAAUGCUGCUCUAAAUGGGAGGUAUAUGUCUUCUAAAGCUAAAUAUUGGCCAGAGACCGAUAGCGCACAAGUAGAGUGAUCGAAAGAUGAAAAGCACUUUGAAAAGAGGGUUAAAAAGUACGUGAAAUUGUUGAAAGGGAAGCGCUUGUGACCAGACUUGGGCCCGGUCAAUCAUCCAGGGUUCUCCCUGGUGCACUUGGCCGGCCCAGGCCAGCAUCAGUUUGUCGCGGGGGAUAAAGACGUUGGGAAUGUGGCUCCUCCGGGAGUGUUAUAGCCCUUCGUGUAAUACCCUGCUUCGGACUGAGGUUCGCGCAUCUGCAAGGAUGCUGGCGUAAUGGUCAUCAGCGACCCGUCUUGAAACACGGACCAAGGAGUCGUCUUCGUAUGCGAGUGUUCGGGUGUCAAACCCCUACGCGUAAUGAAAGUGAACGCAGGUGAGAGCUUCGGCGCAUCAUCGACCGAUCCUGAUGUUCUCGGAUGGAUUUGAGUAAGAGCAUACGGGGCCGGACCCGAAAGAAGGUGAACUAUGCCUGUAUAGGGUGAAGCCAGAGGAAACUCUGGUGGAGGCUCGCAGCGGUUCUGACGUGCAAAUCGAUCGUCAAAUAUGGGCAUGGGGGCGAAAGACUAAUCGAACCUUCUAGUAGCUGGUU
rnacentral:rRNA from 1 species